AGUGAGCGCUGGCGGUAGGCCUAACACAUGCAAGUCGAACGGCAGCACAGUAAGAGCUUGCUCUUACGGGUGGCGAGUGGCGGACGGGUGAGGAAUACAUCGGAAUCUACUUUUUCGUGGGGGAUAACGUAGGGAAACUUACGCUAAUACCGCAUACGACCUACGGGUGAAAGCAGGGGAUCUUCGGACCUUGCGCGAUUGAAUGAGCCGAUGUCGGAUUAGCUAGUUGGCGGGGUAAAGGCCCACCAAGGCGACGAUCCGUAGCUGGUCUGAGAGGAUGAUCAGCCACACUGGAACUGAGACACGGUCCAGACUCCUACGGGAGGCAGCAGUGGGGAAUAUUGGACAAUGGGCGCAAGCCUGAUCCAGCCAUACCGCGUGGGUGAAGAGGGCCUUCGGGUUGUAAAGCCCUUUUGUUGGGAAAGAAAAGCAGCAGGUUAAUACCCCGCUGUUCUGACGGUACCCAAAGAAUAAGCACCGGCUAACUUCGUG
rnacentral:rRNA from 1 species